rnacentral:rRNA from 1 species
AGAGUUUGAUCCUGGCUCAGAAUCAACGCUGGCGGCGCGCCUAACACAUGCAAGUCGCACGAGAAAGUGGAGCAAUCCAUGAGUACAGUGGCGUACGGGUGAGUAACACGUGGAUCAUCUGCCCUGGAGUGGGGAAUAACGCUGGGAAACCGGCGCUAAUACCGCAUAUUCCCGAGAGGGGAAAGCAGCAAUGCGCUCGAGGAGGAGUCCGCGGCCGAUUAGCUAGUUGGCAGGGUAAAAGCCUACCAAGGCUGUGAUCGGUAGCCGGCCUGAGAGGGCACACGGCCACACUGGCACUGAAACACGGGCCAGACUCCUACGGGAGGCAGCAGUGGGGAAUCUUGCACAAUGGGGGAAACCCUGAUGCAGCGACGCCGCGUGAGCGAUGAAGCCCUUCGGGGUGUAAAGCUCUUUCGGCGGGGACGAUAAUGACGGUACCCGCAGAAGAAGCUCCGGCUAACUUCGUGCCAGCAGCCGCGGUAAUACGAAGGGGGCUAGCGUUGUUCGGAAUUACUGGGCGUAAAGGGCGCGUAGGCGGCGGCCCAAGUCGAGUGUGAAAGCCCCGGGCUCAACCUGGGAGGUGCGCUCGAGACUGGCCCGCUAGAGUUCGGGAGAGGAAAGUGGAAUUCCUGGUGUAGCGGUGAAAUGCGUAGAUAUCAGGAGGAACACCGGUGGUGUAGACGGCUUUCUGGACCGUAACUGACGCUGAGACACGAAAGCGUGGGUAGCAAACAGAAUUAGAUACCCUGGUAGUCCACGCCCUAAACGAUGCAUAUUUGGUGUGGGCAGUUCAUUCUGUCCGUGCCGGAGCUAACGCGUUAAAUAUGCCGCCUGGGGAGUACAGUCGCAAGGCUGAAACUCAAAGGAAUUGACGG